CCUACGGGAGGCAGCAGUGGGGAAUAUUGGACAAUGGGCGCAAGCCUGAUCCAGCAAUACCGCGUGAGUGAUGAAGGUCUUCGGAUUGUAAAGCUCUUUUAGUGGAGAAGAUAAUGACGGUAUCCACAGAAAAAGCACCGGCAAACUUCGUGCCAGCAGCCGCGGUAAUACGAAGGGUGCUAGCGUUGUUCGGAAUCAUUGGGCGUAAAGCGUACGUAGGCGGUUUAGUAAGUCGAUUGUGAAAUACCCGAGCUCAACUUGGGAAUUGCAAUCGAAACUGCUUUGCUAGAGUUUAGUGGGGGAUAGUGGAAUUCCUAGUGUAGGGGUGAAAUCCGUAGAUAUUAGGAGGAACAUCAGUGGCGAAGGCGACUAUCUACGCUAAUACUGACGCUAAGGUACGAAAGCGUGGGGAGCAAACAGGAUUAGAUACCCUGGUAGUCCACGCAGUAAACGAUGAGUGCUAGUUGUCGGGGUCUUAGACUUCGGUGGCGAAGCUAACGCGUUAAGCACUCCGCCUGGGGACUACGGUCGCAAGCUAAAACUCAAAGGAAUUGACGGCNGAGACGNGCGAGACGACGACGAGGAGAG
rnacentral:rRNA from 1 species